GACGAACGCUGGCGGCGUGCUUAACACAUGCAAGUCGAACGAAAAUACCAAGCUUGCUUGGUUGAUUAGUGGCGAACGGGUGAGUAACACGUGAGUAACCUGCCCCUUACUUUCCUGGAUAACUGCUCGAAAGGGUAGCUAAUACGGGAUAUUCUGACCAGCCUGCAUGGGUUGGUUUGGAAAGGUUGUUUUUCUGGUAAGGGAUGGGCUCGCGGCCUAUCAGCUUGUUGGUGGGGUGAUGGCCUACCAAGGCUUUGACGGGUAGCCGGCCUGAGAGGGUGGACGGUCACACUGGGACUGAGAUACGGCCCAGACUCCUACGGGAGGCAGCAGUGGGGAAUAUUGCACAAUGGGCGCAAGCCUGAUGCAGCGACGCCGCGUGAGGGAUGAAGGCCUUCGGGCUGUAAACCUCUUUCGUCAGGGAACAAGGCACUGCUUUUUUGGUGGUGUUGAGGGUACCUGGAUAAGAAGCGCCGGCUAACUACGUG
rnacentral:rRNA from 1 species